GCUGGGAGAGGUGGCUCGUGCUUAUAGUCCCAGCUACUUGGGAGGCUGAGGUGGGAGGAUUGCUGGAGUCCAGGAAUUCUGGGCUGUAAUGCGCUGUGCCGAUUGGGUGUCCGCACUAAGUUCGGCAUCAAUAUGGUGACCUCCCGGGAGUGGCGAACCACCCAGAGGGGUAAACCUAAGGAGGGGUGAACCAGCCCAGGUUGGAAACAGAGCAGGUCAAAACUCCCGUGCUGAUGAGUGAUGGGAUCACGCCUGUGAAUAGCCACUGCACUCCAGCCUGGGCAACAUAGCGAGACCCGCCCCGU
ensembl:misc_RNA Metazoa_SRP Metazoan signal recognition particle RNA